AUGGACGAACCAGCCGUGUCAAGCAGUGCGCGGCAUCGUGAUGCCCCUCGGGGGCCUAAUCUGGCGAACAGCGGUUUGAAUGCUCAGGAUGUGGUGAACAAUGGCAGAGCACGGCGCGAGGCAGAGUUAGCAGCACAGUUGGCUGCGCAGUAUCAGAAUCAACCCGCUCCGGUUCAGCCAGUGGCAUCAGUUGAACGUGGUUUGGCUUUUAGCUCUUGCGGAAUACCGUGCCUCACCCCAGCUCUGUGUAUUGUGCGGCUGCCCAAGGAUUUCAAAGGUCCGUGCAAGGUACCUAAUUAUACCGCUGAUCAGCCCCUUGAGGCAUGGGUUGAAAGUUAUGAGAUGGCAAUGGAGAUGUUAGAUGUG
rnacentral:rRNA from 1 species